rnacentral:rRNA from 1 species
GCGUUGUUCGGAUUUACUGGGCGUAAAGCGCACGUAGGUGGAUAGUUAAGUGAGGGGUGAAAUCCCAGGGCUCAACCCUGGAACUGCCUUUCAUACUGGCUAUCUCGAGUUCGGAAGAGGUGAGUGGAAUUCCAAGUGUAGAGGUGAAAUUCGUAGAUAUUUGGAAGAACACCGGUGGCGAAGGCGGCUCACUGGUCCGAUACUGACACUGAGGUGCGAAAGCGUG